UGAGUUCAGAAUGGAGUGAGAACUCGGGAGUUGGGGAAAAUUCCAGAACACAGAAUGGCAUGUGAGUGGUACUUCAAGGCUAGGCAGCAGCUUACUGUGCAAACAAGGUCAUUUGAUCAGCAAUGAGGUUCACUGUAAGUGUCUAAUCUCCAAAUCUUCCUUCCAGGUCAUUUGAUCAGCAAUGAGGUUCACUGUAAGUGUCUAAUCUCCAAAUCAAUUGACCACAUGGUAGAUUUUUGUCAGAAUCAGGAAUUUUCGGUGGUGAAGGAGAAAGGCACGAGGAGCCCACAGAGUUAUCAGAAUGGCGCUUAGAGAUAAAAUGCUCGACUGAGAAACCUGAUGUGGAAUAAACGCAAGCCCUAUUGGAAAGAUGGUUCAUGAUUAACAGAUUUGAUGGCCGUGAGCCAGGACUAGUGGAUCCUGCUAUAUAACCCUAGGAGUCAGAAGGAUUCGGGGAAAGGAUGAUGCUUUGACAUCAAGACCAGCUGUUGCUACAGAUUGAGUUCCCAGAAAGGAGCAAGGAUCACCCUGCCGUCUCCUCUUUCUCUGAACCCACAUGUCUCAUGAGGUCUUCUCAACUCUUGAAGUCAGCUGUCACAGACUGUAUAUAUCUCACAGAUUUACAUCUUCAGGACAGACACACAUCAUAACUGUGUAUCAGUUAUAACUACCUAGCUUUCCCACAAGCACUUGAAAGUGUAUAUGUUGGAAACAGAAGUUAAAAUCACCUCUCAAAUACAUUUCUCAUCUAUUCUGCUGAUCGAAAUGUCACCUUUAGGUUUUAACAAUUUAACAAAUUUCAACGAUCAGUUCUUCAAGAUCAUCUUCCACAAAAAGAUUCAUAGCCCUUUAGGAGGUCUAGCCAUGUAGAUAAAGUCUUAUCUCACCUCCUGCCAAAUAGCCCUGUGCUCUGCACAGUGUGUGUACUCUGCAUCCAUCUGAUAAAGGAACGCAUGCUGGAAAGCAGGGACUACAUUUAUGUGGAAAUAUUUUCAGGUUUAGGAAUUGUCAAGUGUGGUCCACAGGGUCUGAGGAAUAGCAGCUGUCGAGACAAGCAAAACUCCAGUUCCGAAAAGCAACAGAUGCCGUGCUACAGAGUUUUAAAUACUCGUUAUGAGGAAAUACAAUGAGUGGCAUAUUGAGUCUUAUGGAAGAAAAGAUGAGGCGAGUGUGGGGGCCCACUUCUCUGAUCCCAGCACUAGAAAGGCUGAGGAAGGAAGAUUGGUAUAAGGUUGAGGCCUGUCUGUUCCACAUAGCGAUGCCCAGACUAGUCAAUGGAAGAAAGCUUGUCUCAAAGAAACAACAUAACAAGCUGGGUGGUGACAGUUCACAUCUUUAAUCCUUGGGAGCCAGAUGCAAGUGGAUCUCUGAGGUCAAGUUCCAGGGCAGCCAGGGCUAUACGGAGAAAUCUCUAGGUCAAAAACAAACAAGCAAGCAAACAGACAGAAAGGAACAACAAAACAAAAGAACACGAUUUGAUUACUGAGGGAGUCAGACUUCAGGAUUAAUACGCUUGCGAAAAUAAGUAGAAGAAACCCAUUUCUAGUAGCAGUCUACAAAUCUACGCCUCAUUCGCUGCUGAUUUUCAUAGGAAAAGAAGUUUUGACAAAUAUAUUCAAAAGAAACAAAAUGUACUAAAUAAGCCAAAAGAAUCAACGUGCUUAAUAAAGCCGUAAAGCAUCAUAUAAAUAACAGGUAUUAUAAUACUGGCACUCUGACUGAGAAAGCAAACCACAAAACGGGCAUUUGAAGAAAAAAUAUGCACAAUGAGAGAAGAAAGACUUCCUGGGAGGAAGAGGGAGGAAAUGGAGACACAGAACAUCAAGAGCUAUGCCCUUCAUCAUCACCGGAAAAACAACAUUUCCAUGAAAAAAGAGUAAGUAGUUUAACAUCGCAACAUGACAGUAUUCCAAAAGAAAGAAAGGCUAUGAAAAACAGAUCUGUGAAUAAUAAAGGAAGAGAACCGGGCAAAGGAGCAGAGAGAGGAUAAAGAAGGAAAAACAGAGUCCGAGGAUGCCUCUUCUAACAAUAUGAUUUGAAUUUAAAGCCAUCACAUCUGCUUUUUAUAACUCUCUGCGUGUAUUAGCUCACAUAAAGGACCAUGUUGAUGUGUAUUGUAAGGAAGAAAUAAGAAGCUUAUUAGAGAAGGGAAAAAAAAUCUACCAUCUCCAGGAUAAUAAAGUUUUCUUUCACUGAAGAACUUUGUAGAGAGCAGUAGCAGCUGUACAUACACUGUUCAAAGGCCGGCCUGGUGAAAGGGUUCAGAUCGCUUAGUUCAUCCAUCUUUGGUAACAUAAAAUUGACUUUAUCUGUUAAAUGAUGGUUGGUCUAUAUUUGAUCUUAUUUUUCCAAUCCUCCUGUUAUGUUGUCAUACAACAAAAAGAACUCUUGGCAUUUGAAGUUAAUUUUUUUUUUUAUAUUAGGUUACCUUUCCGAAUGAAUUAUUAGAAAUACUGAGUCCUUAGUACACUGAGGAAGAAAAAAGAAAAUCUAGAUUCCGAAGUUGAAGCUGGCAUAGAGUCGCUCGCCUGUGAUCCCAGGUGCUGCAGAAACUUAGCGGGAGGAUGACAAGGUUCCGGUUACUUUGUGAAAUCUGGUCUGAAUUGGAGGGCAGGGGCCACAAACAGAGGGACAGGAAGGAGGGAGAGAAGGAGGGAAGGAAGGAAGGAGGAGGGAGGGAGGGAAGAAGAGAGGGAGGGGAAAGGAAGGAAGGAAGGAAGGAAGGAAGGAAG
rnacentral:lncRNA from 1 species